rnacentral:rRNA from 1 species
AUUGAACGCUGGCGGCAGGCUUAACACAUGCAAGUCGAACGAGUGGCGGACGGGUGAGUAAUAUUUGGGAAUCUAGCUUAUGGCGGGGGAUAACUACGGGACACUGUAGCUAAUACCGCGUACAAUGGGAUGCGCACAUGUGGGAUUAGGUAGUUGGUGGGGUAAAGGCUCACCAAGCCGACGAUCUCUAGCUGGUCUGAGAGGAUGACCAGCCACACUGGGACUGAGACACGGCCCAGACUCCGACGGGAGGCAGAAGUGGGGAAUAUUGGACAAUGGGGGCAACCUGACGCAGCCAUGCCGCGUGAAUGAAGAAGGCCUUCGGGGUGUAAAGUACUUUCGGUAGAGAGGCGUUAACUACAGAAGAAGCACCGGCUAACUCCGUGCCAGCCGCCGCGGUAAUAC